rnacentral:tRNA from 1 species
AGGAUAAUAGUUUACUUAAAACAUUUAAUUUGCAUUUAAAAAAAAUAAAUACUUUAUUUAUCUUA